rnacentral:rRNA from 1 species
AUUGAACGCUGGCGGCAUGCCUUACACAUGCAAGUCGAACGGUAACAGGCCGCCAGGUGCUGACGAGUGGCGAACGGGGGAGUAAUGCAUCGGAACGUGCCCAGUCGUGGGGGAUAACUACUCGAAAGAGUAGCUAAUACCGCAUACGAUCUAUGGAUGAAAGCGGGGGACCGUAAGGCCUCGCGCGAUUGGAGCGGCCGAUGUCAGAUUAGGUAGUUGGUGGGGUAAAGGCUCACCAAGCCAACGAUCUGUAGCUGGUCUGAGAGGACGACCAGCCACACUGGGACUGAGACACGGCCCAGACUCCUACGGGAGGCAGCAGUGGGGAAUUUUGGACAAUGGGCGCAAGCCUGAUCCAGCAAUGCCGCGUGCAGGAAGAAGGCCUUCGGGUUGUAGACUGCUUUUGUACGGAACGAAACGGCUCUGGUUAAUACCCGGGGCUAAUGACGGUACCGUAAGAAUAAGCACCGGCUAACUACGUG